rnacentral:tRNA from 1 species
CAGGGAGACAUAAACUGAUCUUGAUGUCUUAUGUUUUUUAUACUUAGGCCAAGAUCCUGUCACCUUAAGGUCGAUCGGUACCUCAGGUUAAAAGCUCAAUUAGAAUUGAGAAUUCAAUUUUAGAUUGGUAAUUAACAUCAGUUCCUAAACUUGUCUAGGUCACACCCAGCAAGGGUAAUCCUGGGCCAUUAGCUCAGGUGGUUAGAGCGCACCCCUGAUAAGGGUGAGGUCCCUGGUUCAAGUCCAGGAUGGCCCAUUCGGUGUUGGGGGUUUAGCUCAGUUGGUAGAGCGCCUGCUUUGCAAGCAGGAUGUCAGGAGUUCGAGUCUCCUAACCUCCACUGACCGAACUUGAUUCCCAUCUCCAGAUUUUUGGAGUUGAGCUCGAUUGGAGUGUGAUUUAGAUGUGUCCGCUGGAUGACCCCAGCUUCCUGUCAUUCCAAGUUUUAGGUUGAAGCCUUGAAUUUGGUUGAUAAGAUGCUGGGCUCGGAUCAAAUGAUCAAGCAAUUGAUGAUUUGAUUUGAAGUUCUAGCAGAACCUUGACAACUGCAUAGGUGAGUCUGGAAAAAACAAAGCAUCUUACAGAUGCAUUGUUUUGAAUCUGAUCUUUCGAAAGAGAGAUUGGAUCUAGAACAAUGAAAAUUCUUUUGAGCAAGAGCCGAGACUCUUAAAUGUUCUUUGAUUCGUGUCGAGCGAAUCAGAGUUUGAUCUUGUUUUUAGUAAUAAAAACUUGAGAAUCUGCUUUCAACGGCGGUAAGCGUUCAGGAGGUUAAUU